UCUGCAGAACCAGAAUGCUCAUGAUGCCAUUUUAAAGCAGUUGGACCUAAUUAAUGUAGCUACUCCACCUAAUUUACAGGAGUGGAAUAACAGAGCUCAGAAAUUUGAUGACCUUAAAGAUUCUGUAAGGAUCGCGAUGGUUGGGAAAUAUGUUGGCCUAACAGAUUCCUAUUUGUCUGUUGUGAAGGUACAUUAU